rnacentral:rRNA from 1 species
UACGUAGGGUGCGAGCGUUGUUCGGAAUUACUGGGCGUAAAGGGCUCGUAGGCGGCCAACUAAGUCAGACGUGAAAUCCCUCGGCUUAACCGGGGAACUGCGUCUGAUACUGGAUGGCUUGAGUUUGGGAGAGGGAUGCGGAAUUCCAGGUGUAGCGGUGAAAUGCGUAGAUAUCUGGAGGAACACCGGUGGCGAAGGCGGCAUCCUGGACCAACACUGACGCUGAGUGAGCGAAAGCCAGGGGAGCAAACGGG